ensembl:lncRNA
GUUCAUAUAAAUUUUUUUCAAUUAAAUGUUCCAAUUAACUUUAAAAAAUUUAUCUCUUUCAAGAGUGAAGAUUUUUUAAAAGAAAUUGAUGUGAUUGUUCUUUCUGUGAAUGAGUGAUGGCCUAAUGAGAUUACCCCUUUACCUUUCUACCAAGAGAAGCAAGAGAUAGCAAAAGGAACAUAAAGGAGGAGGCAAUACAAGAUCCUGAUUGUAGAUACCACUAGUUUCCAGCUAGUAACUUCUCCUAAGUAUCAAGUAGACAUGUAGGAUCAUUACGAGGGCUGAAGACUCUGACUCUUGAUUGAGUUUCCAGGAACCAUUCGUGAAGUUACAUUGCAGAAUUGGUCCACCAAGGGAGCUGCAGUCCCUGUCACAAUCCAGAAGCUGUAAAAGUAGGAAACUGCGUGGAAAAUCAGGAAGAUGUUGCUACAUCUGCCAGCUCCAGGACAACACUGCGUAUGUCAAUAUCUGCAUCAGUAGAAUGGAUUUCUGAUACCCUGACUCCCUAGCCACGUGACUUAGUUUGAAAUAAAAAUUGUGUGCUAGUUCAUCUAAUCUAAGGAUUAUAAAUUACAUCUAGAUGAUCUAGUUCAUCUAGAUCAAAGGAUUAUAAGUCAAAUAUACAUAUAUCUCACAUCUAGAACAAUGGGACUAUAAAUCACAUGUAGGAAAUGUAGUUUCUUGUUUAUUUCUGUUUGUUUCAUAUACUAAAAGGAGGCUGGAAUGCCUGUUGAGCAAACCCAUUCAAAGGAACUGUCAUACUGUGUAUAUACCUGCUCUUUUUUGAUCAGGGAAGAGGGAUCACAUAUGUGAAUUAUGACAGUAAUAAACAAAGUAUGGACAUUCAAGGAGUUAUUUGAUAGAUUUCUGUUUUGGUUUAUAACACAGUAUAGGCAUUAUUUUAUAGAUUCAAGUUGAUACUUUCUGACAUUUAUAAAUUGUUAUUGAAUUAUGUUAUUGAUUAAAAUAUCAAUAAUUUACUAGCUUUUUAAAGAGAAUAUGAAGCUUCUAAGAAGUUAGUUUAGAAGAACUAAGCCUCAGCACUAUUGACACUUUGGGCCAGAUCGUUCUUUCUUGUGGAAGCCUGCCCAUAUUGUAGGAUAUUUAGUUGCACAUCUGGCUUCUAUCUACCAAAUGCCAGUGGCAUCCUCCUUCUCUCAAGCGUGAGAAUCAGAACUGUCUCCAGACGUUGCCAAAUGGCCCCUGGAGGGGAACACAAAAUUGCUCCCAAUUUUGAACCACGGGUAUAGAUAGAAUCAUGUAAGAUGAAGAAGUCCAAAUUCUGCUUUAAAAAAAUAAAAACAAAAAAUCACAUCCAGAAUAAAAUCUAAGAUUUUUAUCUCACAAUAAUUUUGCAUUUCUAAACUGUAUAUUUUCCAAUUUUAGGUUUUUAGAAAAUAUUUAAAGAUUUAUAAGGAUAUAAGGAUAAAAUUCAUUUAAGCAAACUAACUCAACAGUUAUUAGCCCCUACUUGUAUAUUGGCUGCUUUAAACAAAGUAGUUUCUCUUCAUUAUGAGAUCCUUCAACCUAAUAUGAAGAGGUAAAUUUUAAAUAAUCUAUAUUCAUGUGAGAUCUUAUAAAUUUGAACUGUG